UAAUUCCGUGCCAGCAGCCGCGGUAAUACGGAAGGUGCAAGCGUUAUCCGGUUUUAUUGGGUUUAAAGGGUGCGUAGGCGGCUUAUUAAGUCAGUUGUGAAAUCCUAGUGCUUAACGCUAGAACUGCGAUUGAUACUAUUAGGCUUGAGUUAAGAAGAGGUAGGCAGAAUUUAUGGUGUAGUAGUGAAAUGCUUAGAUAUCAUAAGGAAUACCAAUAGCGUAGGCAGCUUACUGGUCUUUAACUGACGCUGAGGCACGAAAGCGUGGGGAGCAAACAGGAUUAGAUACCCUGGUAGUCCACGCCGUAAACGAUGAUCACUCGAUAUACAUGAUGCGUCAUGUGUGUCUAAGCGAAAGCAUUAAGUGAUCCACCUGGGGAGUAUACUCGCAAGGGUGAAACUCAAAGGAAUUGACGGGGGUCCGCACAAGCGGUGGAGUAUGUGGUUUAAUUCGAUAAUACGCGAGGAACCUUACCUGGGCUAGAAUGUAUUUUGCUACCUUGAGAAAUUAAGGGUUCCUUCGGGACGGAAUACAAGGUGCUGCAUGGCUGUCGUCAGCUCGUGCCGUGAGGUGUUGGGUUAAGUCCUAUAACGAGCGAAACCCUUUUACUUAAUUGCCAGCACAUAAUGGUGGGGACUUUAAGUAGACUGCCCGUGUAAGCGGGAGGAAGGAGAGGACGAGGUCAAGUCAUCAUGGCCUUUAUGCCCAGGGCUACACACGUACUACAAUGGCAUGUACAAAGGGAAGCUACUUGGUAACAAGAUGCAAAUCUCAAAAGCAUGUCUCAGUUCGGAUUGGGGUCUGCAAUUCGACCUCAUGAAGUUGGAAUCGCUAGUAAUCGCGUAUCAGCAAUGACGCGGUGAAUACGUUCUCGGACCUUGUACACACCGCCCAUCAAGCCAUGGGAGUUGGUAGAGCUUGAAGACAGUG
rnacentral:rRNA from 1 species